AGAAAUCGAAAAACCAGAUGAAAGAUGUCGUGGAAAACGUUGAUAUGGAAGGAAAUCAUCUCACUUCUUCUACAAAUUGAGGUUGGAAAUAGGUUUGUUUGUUUGCUUGGAUUGGAUUGGAUUGAUCAAAAGGAGAUUUGAUGGGGUGGAUCUGAUUUUGUUGAUGUUAAUUUGUCGAUUUGGAAUCAUUUGAAAAAGGGAUUAUCAUACACGAAAUCACAGCGAGAAAAAAAAGAAGACUAUCUUUGUUGCUGCAAAGAUUGAAGAUUGGUUGUUUUUAACAAGAUUACUUGUUGAUGAUGGUAACGGGAUUUGGAAUCAUUUAAAAAGGGGAUUAUCAUACACGAACUCACAGCAAGAAAAAAACAGACUAUCUUUGUUGUUAUAAAGAUUGAAGAUCGGUUGUUUUUAAUGAUUACUUGUUGAUGAUGGUAACGGGAUUUUAACUAGUUUUUAUUAGGUUUCAUAACCAAUUGGGAUUCCAUCAAGGUUCAAAAGAGUUCAUAGGGUUCAAAAACUUGGAUUUAGUUGGGGUUCACUACAGGUUCAAAUGGGGUUUAAAGUGGUUCAAUUAGGUUUUCUUGGGGAUUUUAGUUUCAGAUAAUAAUAAUAACAAUGUUCGGUUGCGGUUUUGAAUCUAGGUUUGUAACGACGAUUUUUUGGGGAAGGAGAUGAACGAAAAAUUAAAGAAGAGGGGGAGAACAUAACGUUUCUCACCGAGGGUAAAUAUGUAAAUUCAAACUAUUUUUUUGAAAGAAAAUUAUAAAAAUAGAUAAUAAUAUAGUCAAAUGGAAACUUCAA